CCUACGGGAGGCUGCAGUCGAGAAUCAUUCACAAUGGGGGAAACCCUGAUGGUGCGACGCCGCGUGGGGGAAUGAAGGUCUUCGGAUUGUAAACCCCUGUCAUGUGGGAGCAAAUUAAAAAGAUAGUACCACAAGAGGAAGAGACGGCUAACUCUGUGCCAGCAGCCGCGGUAAUACAGAGGUCUCACGCGUUGUUCGGAAUCACUGGGCGUAAGGCGUGCGUAGGCUGUUUCGUAAGUCGUGUGUGAAAGGCGCGGGCUCAACCCGCGGACGGCACAUGAUACUGCGAGACUAGAGUAAUGGAGGGGGAACCGGAAUUCUCGGUGUAGCAGUGAAAUGCGUAGAUAUCGAGAGGAACACUCGUGGCGAAGGCGGGUUCCUGGACAUUAACUGACGCUGAGGCACGAAGGCCAGGGGAGCGAAAGGGAUUAGAUACCCCUGUAGUC
rnacentral:rRNA from 1 species